AUUCUUUCUUUUUCUUUAUCCAAUUUAUCUAAUUUGCUACUUGCUCCUUUCUCCUCACUGCCCCCUCUUUUCCUUUCGUAUUCUGAACGAGAACAUCACUCCCUUCUAUCACUGGGCACCACCGCUUGAUCUUCGAGUUUAACAAAUAAACCACUUUCGGUGACUAACACCGGCAGCGAAGCAGGGAUAGCGCCUCUCCCUUCACUGAUCCACGAUCUGCCUUCUCAUCCAACACGAACAUUUACUUUCAAGAUGGGAGAGCUGGUUACUGACAAGCACGUGAAAUAUAUAUUAUCAGUUGAAAAGAGAAAAGAUGAUUUUGAAUCUGUGGUGAUGGAGCAUCUAAGAAUGAACGGGGCAUACUGGGGUUUGACUGCUCUGGAUUUGAUGGGAAAGCUUGACGUUGUGGAUGUUAAUGAGGUUGUUUCAUGGGUAAUGAGUUGUCAGCAUGAUUCAGGGGGAUUUGGCGGAAAUGUUGGACAUGACCCACACAUCUUGUAUACACUGAGUGCAGUGCAGGUGUUGGCUCUCUUUGACAAGAUGGAUCUUAUUGAUGCAGAUAAGGUGACAAAUUAUAUUGUUGGCCUGCAAAAUGAAGAUGGAUCUUUUUCAGGAGAUAUGUGGGGUGAAGUUGAUACACGGUUCUCCUAUAUUGCUAUCUGUUGUCUUUCAAUAAUACAUCGCUUGGAUAAAAUCAAUGUGGAAAAGGCUGUGAAUUACAUUAUAAGUUGCAAAAAUAUGGAUGGUGGUUUUGGUUGCACACCGGGUGGGGAAUCUCAUGCUGGCCAAAUUUUCUGUUGUGUGGGAGCUCUCGCUCUUACGGGGUCAUUAGAUCUGGUUAACAAGGACUUACUUGGUUGGUGGUUAUGUGAGCGACAAGUUAAAUCUGGAGGUCUGAAUGGGCGUCCUGAGAAACUCCCUGAUAUCAUCCCAGGUCUGCUAUUCAUGGUGGGUUCUUUCUAGCCUGAUCAUGAUCGAUAGGGUUCACUGGAUCAGUAGUGAGAAACUUAUAAAAUUUAUCUUAGACUGUCAGGACAAGGAAAAAGGUGGAAUUUCAGACAGGCCAGAUGAUGCUGUGGAUGUCUUCCAUACCUACUUUGGGGUAGCUGGGCUUUCACUACUUGAAUAUCCCGGCCUAAAACCAAUAGAUCCAGCUUAUGCUUUACCUGUUGAUGUUGUAAAUCGGAUUUUCUUUAAAAAAUAAAGGACUUGGAAGUUCAACUACUGUUCAGUAACGAGUCUUAAGACUCGCUUUUGGCAGUUGAUAUAGUGUUAUUUCCCCUCUUACUUGAACAUCAUCAGAUUUGUGAUUACCCUUUAUAUCUCCUUUUGAUAACAUGUACGCAUCUUCUGAUAAAAUUACUGCAAAGUUUUGACAUUGCAAUAGAUUUUUAAAUCUUAAAUUA